rnacentral:rRNA from 1 species
AUGGGUAAGCGCCAGGUUCUCCCCGCUCUGCUCCUCGCCCUCCUGGCUCUCGCGUCCAGCGGUGGCGGCGCCCAUGCGUCGGCGGGCGGCGGUCCCCAUCCGGCUACGCCGGUGAAGGCGCCGUUUAGCAGGCACAGCUUCCCCAAGGGGUUCGUCUUCGGCACCGGCUCCGCAGCCUACCAGUACGAAGGCGCCGUCAAGGAAGGUGGCCGGGGGCCGACGGUGUGGGACAAGUUCGCCCAUACUCCAGGCAAGAUUGCAGACGGUGGCAAUGGAGACGUAGCGCUAGACUUUUACCAUCGGUACAAGGAGGAUCUGAAGUUGGUGUUGGACAUGAACAUGGAUGCCUUCCGGUUCUCCAUCGCGUGGAGCAGGAUCCUGCCAACUGGUUCCAUGAGUGGAGGAGUGAACAAAGAGGGGAUUGCAUUUUACAACAGACUUAUCAAUGAGGUCAUAGCUAAAGGCUUGAAGCCAUAUGUCACACUGCAUCACUGGGACACACCCCUGGGGCUAGAGGACAAAUACGGUGGCUUCCUCAGUGAAAAGAUUGUGAAGGACUACGUGGACUUCAGCGACGUUUGCUACAACGAGUUCGGCGACCGGGUGAAGCACUGGACCACCUUCAACGAGCCAUGGACGUACAGCACCUACGGCUACGCCACCGGCGUGUUCGCGCCGGGGCGGUGCUCGCCGCACGUCUCCGCCUCCUGCGGCGCCCGCGACUCGGCCCGGGAGCCCUACAUCGUGACGCACAACAUCCUGCUGGCGCACGCCGCCACCGUGGAGCUGUACCGGCGCAAGUACCAGAAGGCGCAGGGCGGCGAGGUCGGCAUCACGCUGGUGUGCCACUGGUACCUCCCCUACACCAACUCCACCGCCGAUAAGGAGGCCGCCAAGCGCCGGGUGGAGUUCAUGCUGGGCUGGUUCAUGGACCCCAUCGUGCACGGCGACUACCCGGCGUCCAUGAGGAGCUGGCUCGGCGCCCGGCUGCCGAGCUUCACCCCGAAGCAGAAGGCCAUGCUCAAGGGGUCCUACGACUUCUUCGGCCUCAACUACUACACCACCUACUACGCCAUCGCCACGCCCGCACCGGCCAACGCCCUCCUUGGGUCCUACGACGCCGACAACCGCUCCAACGUCACCGGCUUCCGCAACGGCAGGCCCCUCGGCCCGCAGGCCUACACCGAGUUUCUCUUCGUCUACCCGCCGGGUAUCCACGAGCUCAUGCUCUAUGCAAAGCGCAAGUACGGGAACCCCGCCAUCUACGUCAUGGAGAACGGCAUCGACGAGGGCAACAACAGCUCGCUGCCCAUCAGGGAGGCGCUCAAGGACCCCGCCAGGAUCAACUACCACUACAAGCACCUCCUCUUCCUCAACCUCGCCAUCAAGCAGAAGGUGAACAUCAAGGGUUACUUCUCGUGGACGUUCAUGGACUGCUUCGAGUGGGGUGACGGCUACAAGGACCGCUUCGGCCUCAUCUACAUCGACCGCAACACGCUCAAGCGCUACCCCAAGGAGUCCAGCAAAUGGAUGGGCAGAUUCCUCAAGAAAUGA